UCCUACGGGAGGCAGCAGUGGGGAAUUUUGGACAAUGGGGGCAACCCUGAUCCAGCAAUGCCGCGUGUGUGAAGAAGGCCUUCGGGUUGUAAAGCACUUUUGUCCGGAAAGAAAUCGCUUCGGUUAAUACCUGGGGUGGAUGACGGUACCGGAAGAAUAAGGACCGGCUAACUACGUGCCAGCAGCCGCGGUA
rnacentral:rRNA from 1 species